AUGUUUAGUUUUAAGAUCAAAACAGUUUGGGAGAAGCCAUUUGAACAACUAUAAUGAUAAAACAGCAGUUAAACUGCAAGUCCACAUCAUCAGAAUCAUCAACAAUGGAAUGGUCUAAGUGACUCUGCAAUAAGGCAAUGACCCAGAAGAAGAAAAAAUUUAGUUAGUUUCUGGUCCAGUCGAAAGUCCUGAUGAAACAUGCUGAAACAUUGGUUGGAGGACUAAAGGGACAGACAGCAUCAGCUUUGUCUGUUGUGCUGAAAACCAUUCUAGACACAUGACUUUUUGCAAGUUUUCACUCUUUUUCCCUUGUAGAACACUAAUAACAAACAAGCUAACAAUAAAUAUAAACUUCACAAGGGUUGUUUUGGUAGAUAUAGGUGAGAUCACUUAAAAUUCAUAUUUAUAAUAAAUAUUUUCCAUCUCUACUGUUAGAAUGGAAAUACCUGUUCCUGCUGCAAGCUAUUAUCGUUGUGUUUUUAUUUUGUUUUAUGUACUGAUUGCUGCCAUUGUUUUGUACAUAAUUGUAGUUUUACUCUGGACUUGACUGUAUCAUAUUAUUUAUACUUAUUUAUAAAAAUACAGUUCAGAAUUCCUUUUUAAUCAACUGUAACUCUUGUUGGAAAU